GUUUACAGAAGUUUACGUUGAUUACCUGCCAAGGGGCCGCGGAUGAAAACUAGCCAUUGGCUAAAUUUGGUACAAUGCAUGAAAUGCAAACAUUUACGUUAAAAUUGUACAUGGUCCCUUUUCAAAUACAUUUUAAUAAAUAAAUAAAUAAUAGCGAGGCUGUUGGAGCAUUAGACCCUGGUGAGGUGGUGUGUGCAAACGCUUAGUCCCUCCCCCUCCCCAUGACCUUUAACCCUGGUUCGCUACACACUGCACACCUCCUGCUGCUCUGUCGCUCAGAAGAGAGACACUAGUGCAGACAGAGAGGGCAGAGAGCUGAUAGAAAAUGGCAACAAAGAGAGAGAUCAAAUGCAAAUGCUACUGGGGGAGGAUAGUUAUGCAUCUGCAAAAUUCAUAUUUCAGCCGCACUCCCUCAGAAACCACUUCGAUCAUCAUAUUCAAGUUGUCUAUGCAG